GGAAAUUUUCGAUUCCCCCUAGCCGCGACCUUCCCUCUCCCUGUCUCCUUUUCCCUCACGGCAGCACUGCAGCAGCAGCCAGCAUAGUUCUUCCUCCUCCCUGCUUCUUCCCUCUGCCAUGGAUGCGAGCUCCAAGCUCCUGCUCAUCCAGCCCCCCUUCUCCAUCUCACCAUGGACGCCACCAUAGCAGCAGGGUAGGCCGAUGUCCUCCCCUGGUUUAUGCGCUGGACAUCUCCUUCCUCCCACUUCAUGCCGGCCCUGCUCCUCUCCACAGAGCCGAGUUCGACGUCCCUGCCAUGGUGGGCGCUCGGCGCCCGAGCUCCAUUCCUCCAUGCCAGCCGACGCCUCUAGCAGGACGCGCGCUCAGCCGCGCCAGGGCCGCUCUCCCCAUGUUCCCCUCAAAUCCGAGCUUCCCUGGCGUCCUUGCCCUGCAUGAACUCCCCAUGGGCGCUGGAGGCGCCCAGCACCGCGCAGGUGUGCGGCAAGGCUUGACCGACGCCCUUCCCUGGUCGGCUUUGAGCAUUGGGUCGAGCCCCUCUUUUUGCCAUGGCACUAGGCCCCUGCUCCUCCUCUCUUCCCCACCAAAAUAGCAAGCCUCCGCCAUGCCCAAGUGUUCUCUCGAGCUCGCCGUCGGGACUCCCAAGUCGCUGCACGCCUCUGCCCAGGCUCCAAAUCCAUGGCCGGAAUCCUCACUGGAAGUGACGCUAGCCGCGAGCCUCACUGCUCCUUGUCCAUAGUUGUUGUUGUCCAUCGCCUUGAAGUUCCUCCGUCGUCGUGUCGCUUCUUCGCCUCUCCUCCGUAGCACGCCCUCCCCGGCAGCUCACCAUCGAUCCCCAUUUCGGACUGUUGUUGCCAUGUAAAUGGGGUGUUCGACGAAAUGCUAAGUAGGGCAGCGAGUCGUGGAGAGCAUCAUCGAUCUUGCUGUGCUCGUCAUUUUCUCAUGCAGCCCCGCCGCCCAUGCAACUCCAGCACGUCGAUGCCGUCUCCCAGCUCGUCCCUACCGUGCCCAUCGCUGUCCCAUGCCUCGCUGUGCUGCACUAGCUGCAGCAGCACACUGCCCCUAUGUCUUACCCUUGUAGCACUUGCGUGCUGUUCGACAAAAUGCCCAGCAGCAACAUCCCCAAUGUGUAGUGUCGUCGCUUUUUGGUGCCCUGCUCCAUUCCUGCCCGUCGACGCCAUCCUGUUGUUGCCACACAAAACAGCAGCCGCAGUAGCUCCUCCAUGGCGCGUGCUCCACCUUGUUGCAUCGUGGUGCCCGUCAUGCUCCUCCGGCUUUGCUCCGCUCUCCGGUACACGUUGGCGCGUUCAUCUCCACGCCAUGUGUGCAGCGGCACCGACCGGGUUUGUUUAUGGACCGAGAGAUGAUGAUCGUGCGAGAUAAAGGACGUGGAGUGGAGAUGGUGUUGGGGCGAAGGCGAAGACGCUACCCUUCGCUCGAAGUCUUCGUCGCCUCGCUACACCAACGAAGACCACGCCCGAGCGAGCCGAGGGCGCCGGCCGGAUGAGGACCGGCGCGGCUGCCCUUCGUCCUCUCCGUUGCAAGACGAAGGCAAGGCUCCAUCGAAGUCUGCUAGUCCCACGUCCUUAUCUUGUUGGGAGGCCCAAGUGGGAUUCAGCCCAUUGUAACGGGCCCCGCGCGGAUAAGCAUGUUACGGGCCGCGUCUGUAAUAGCCUUUUCUAUAAUGACGGUCUGUAACCUCCUUUUGUGGGAAUAUUCUAGGGAUAGUCCAGGUACCUGAGGGCAUAAACGUCCUUGCCAAAGGACGGUGGUUACUCGGGUGCCUAUAAAUACCCUCGCACAGUGACCUUGAGAGGCCAGAUUAAUAGAGCUAUUGCCAUUCCCUGUUGAACUUUGCAAA